GUACACAAAAAUGCACAUGCUGUGAGCUCGAUGAGUAGGGCGGGACACGUGGUAUCCUGUCUGAAUAUGGGGGGACCAUCCUCCAAGGCUAAAUACUCCUGACUGACCGAUAGUGAACCAGUACCGUGAGGGAAAGGCGAAAAGAACCCCGGCGAGGGGAGUGAAAAAGAACCUGAAACCGUGUACGUACAAGCAGUGGGAGCACGCUUAGGCGUGUGACUGCGUACCUUUUGUAUAAUGGGUCAGCGACUUAUAUUCUGUAGCAAGGUUAACCGAAUAGGGGAGCCGAAGGGAAACCGAGUCUUAACUGGGCGUUAAGUUGCAGGGUAUAGACCCGAAACCCGGUGAUCUAGCCAUGGGCAGGUUGAAGGUUGGGUAACACUAACUGGAGGACCGAACCGACUAAUGUUGAAAAAUUAGCGGAUGACUUGUGGCUGGGGGUGAAAGGCCAAUCAAACCGGGAGAUAGCUGGUUCUCCCCGAAAGCUAUUUAGGUAGCGCCUCGUGAAUUCAUCUCCGGGGGUAGAGCACUGUUUCGGCAAGGGGGUCAUCCCGACUUACCAACCCGAUGCAAACUGCGAAUACCGGAGAAUGUUAUCACGGGAGACACACGGCGGGUGCUAACGUCCGUCGUGAAGAGGGAAACAACCCAGACCGCCAGCUAAGGUCCCAAAGUCAUGGUUAAGUGGGAAACGAUGUGGGAAGGCCCAGACAGCCAGGAUGUUGGCUUAGAAGCAGCCAUCAUUUAAAGAAAGCGUAAUAGCUCACUGGUCGAGUCGGCCUGCGCGGAAGAUGUAACGGGGCUAAACCAUGCACCGAAGCUGCGGCAGCGACGCUUAUGCGUUGUUGGGUAGGGGAGCGUUCUGUAAGCCUGUGAAGGUGUACUGUGAGGUAUGCUGGAGGUAUCAGAAGUGCGAAUGCUGACAUAAGUAACGAUAAAGCGGGUGAAAAGCCCGCUCGCCGGAAGACCAAGGGUUCCUGUCCAACGUUAAUCGGGGCAGGGUGAGUCGACCCCUAAGGCGAGGCCGAAAGGCGUAGUCGAUGGGAAACAGGUUAAUAUUCCUGUACUUGGUGUUACUGCGAAGGGGGGACGGAGAAGGCUAUGUUGGCCGGGCGACGGUUGUCCCGGUUUAAGCGUGUAGGCUGGUUUUCCAGGCAAAUCCGGAAAAUCAAGGCUGAGGCGUGAUGACGAGGCACUACGGUGCUGAAGCAACAAAUGCCCUGCUUCCAGGAAAAGCCUCUAAGCAUCAGGUAACAUCAAAUCGUACCCCAAACCGACACAGGUGGUCAGGUAGAGAAUACCAAGGCGCUUGAGAGAACUCGGGUGAAGGAACUAGGCAAAAUGGUGCCGUAACUUCGGGAGAAGG
rnacentral:rRNA from 1 species